UACGGAAGGCAGCAGUGGGGAAUAUUGGACAAUGGGCGGAAGCCUGAUCCAGCCAUGCCGCGUGUGUGAAGAAGGCCUUUUGGUUGUAAAGCACUUUAAGCGAGGAGGAGGCUACUAGUACUAAUACUACUGGAUAGUGGACGUUACUCGCAGAAUAAGCACCGGCUAACUCUGUGCCAGCAGCCGCGGUAAUACAGAGGGUGCGAGCGUUAAUCGGAUUUACUGGGCGUAAAGCGUGCGUAGGCGGCUGAUUAAGUCGGAUGUGAAAUCCCUGAGCUUAACUUAGGAAUUGCAUUCGAUACUGGUCAGCUAGAGUAUGGGAGAGGAUGGUAGAAUUCCAGGUGUAGCGGUGAAAUGCGUAGAGAUCUGGAGGAAUACCGAUGGCGAAGGCAGCCAUCUGGGCCUAAUACUGACGCUGAGUACGAAAGCAUGGGGAAGCAAACAAGGAAUUAAGGAAUAACC
rnacentral:rRNA from 1 species